UACGGAGGGAGCUAGCGUUGUUCGGAAUUACUGGGCGUAAAGCGCGCGUAGGCGGCUUUGUAAGUUAGAGGUGAAAGCCCGGGGCUCAACCCCGGAACUGCCUUAAAACUGCAUCGCUUGAAUCCGGGAGAGGUGAGUGGAAUUCCGAGUGUAGAGGUGAAAUUCGUAGAUAUUCGGAAGAACACCAGUGGCGAAGGCGGCUCACUGGCCCGAUACUGACGCUGAUGCACGAAAGCGUGGGGAGCAAACAGG
rnacentral:rRNA from 1 species